CUUCUUCUCAGGUAAACCGUAAAACACAAACCCUCACAACCAUCUUCUCCACCGAUUUUAUUAUCCAGAUCUGUUCCUAUUCUUUCUUCUUCCUAGAGACUAAAACACAAACCCUCGCAACCAUCUUCUCCACCGAGAAACCGUCGUCUUCCCUGUUCUUCCUCAUCAUCAACUGCGACUCCUCCCUCCGAUGACACCAGGGUUUAUUGGAUCAAGUUAGGAGGAACGGGCAGUGACGAACUGGGUUUCGAUAGGAGUUUUAAGGGAGAAUCUCGUGUUAAUCCUCGUCGUCUUCUGUUCAGAUCUGGUUUUAAUACUGACUGGAAUUACUGUCAGUAAAAUGGAAGGAGGGGAUGAACGUCUGAAUAUAACUGGUCGUUUGGGAGCCGUCAACUUUGCCCUAAAGUCACUCUAAUACAAAGUCAAAGUGUAGGUCGACCUGCAAGAGUCAAAGCUGCUUAUGUGCUUGCACAAAAGAACUCAAAAGUGUUCCUGGAUUAAGAAAGAUUUAGUGGACCGUGAAAAACUUCAAGCCACACUCGCCGAUGAAUCUUUCUCUAACGGUUCCGAUCUCAAAAAGUCGCUAGAAAUGGUGGCACUACUCGAAGCACAGAUGAAAGAGAUAUUCAAAGCCGGCAAACUGGAUUGAUGCAUUGUUGUGGCGUACGAAGGACCACACCCAUGAAAGGAAGUCCCAGAUCUGGGGUGACGCGGCUAGGGUUUCGUCAUUGGAGCUGUGACUGUGGCGUACGAACGGGUAUUCAGGUCAACGGUGGUGGGUGUGGCAGCAAGAUAAAAACAUAUUGUAUUGGACUUUGCUUCUGUUGGGGGUAAAAAAAUGCACUUACGACGCCGUAUGAUUGAACCAGAAAGUUUGUUGGAGAAUUCAAAGUUAAUCUGGGCAAGUUAGUUUUGUUGAGUAGUAAUGCCCACAUGGUGAAAAUUACCAACAUUUGGCCACCACCCGAGCCUGAGCUUUUAGACUUUCUGAAAUUUAAGCGACAACACGAAGAUUUCAUGGGAUCACCAAGUAUAUAUCAAACAUACAGAAGAAGAUUUUAGAAUAUCAUGAAGGCGAUAUCCGAACAACUUGAUAAGAGAAAGGGUAUAGAGGACCUGCAAACUGUUCCCUGAUCAAAAAGCACGUUGUGAAUACUUGCCAUUGUUAACCACACCGAACCUUUGCUAGGAAGGAAGACUACAUGUACAUGCCUUUUUUAUGAUCAUAUAGUGGUUCUAUGUAUGUGAAGGUAUGCUAGACAAGUGGCUGAGUUUUUUCGAGUACGUGAAGAAAGUAAAAGAAGACUGCUAAAGUUGAUGAAGGCAGCAACAAGGGUAGGCAUGCAUAGAUACUGCUGUCACACGAAGGAUUAUGGGUCCCAACACGCGCAGGGAAAACUUCUUAGAGUGUCACAAGUCGCCGGAUUUCAGACGAGCCAUGUUGUUCAUGCCUGGAUUGGGCCCUGGGUAGUGGUUUGUUGUUGUGCUUAAACCCGUGUUUUGCUUGUAUCAUGAAAUUAUAAUAUCUCACACACGCCACAUGAUCAUAGGACUAAACUGAACUUAAUAUAGGAUGAUUGUAGUUUAUAUGCAAAUUUUAAUGAAAGGUUCAUAAGUUUGUUAUCUCAAACUUAUGGGAACACUUAGAACCUGUAUGCCAUUGUUG
rnacentral:lncRNA from 1 species